AGGACCAGCAGUCAAUGGGUCAUCCAUGGCCACAACGGUCCCGAAUGGCAACGCAUUUUUUACCUUGCCAUUGGGCUCAGCUACAAAUACCAUGCUAGGUUUUGGUCCUGACACGAUGUCGUGAAAGUAAAAGUGAAGGUGAGUGAAUUUCUCUUCUUGAAAACCCAACAUUGUUGGGGAUAGGUUUUGAUAGUAAUUAGUGGCAGUGGCAAGGGAUAUUAUAGAGAGGAAAGUAAGGUUCAAAGAAAUUAGAAGAGUUAUGGAGAAUGUUGAGGAUUUUGCCAUGGUUGAUGCGAAUGAACAAAGAAUGUAGUUUUUGUUGUUGAGGAUAAUGAACUAAGAAUGCUUAUUGCUUAUUUCAAUUCGUUGUAUACAUGCCUAUUUAUAAUAGGUGUGGCUGCUUUGUUCAUUUGUAUAUAUUGAUUUGUCUAAAGCUGAAGUUUGUUGACCAAAAACUUUUAGAUAUAUGUCAAAAUAUGGUGGAAAAAUGAUAGACGCCAGAAACAUGUAAAGCGUUGUCAACGAAACAUCCGAGAAAUAUAGUGGAGAAAAAAAUAUAACUCAAUCGUAUUCACUCAGACUAAUGACUUUUUUUUUUUUUUUUAUGGGAAACCAUCAUUUUUGACAUUUUGGCUUCCUAACAUUAGUGGUUGUUAACAUUAUACAUAGAGUUUAAACAAUCUUGCAUAACAAUGUCAUGUCUUCCUUUCAAUAAAAAAUAAAACAAUGUCAUGUCUUCUAAGUCAUGUUUUUUACUUCAUGAAUAUUGUAUUUAAGAGGAUUGAUUUUGCAAUCUAAAAAGGUCUAACGACACAACUUGUUAUUUGUCUGUCUUCUAUUCAUGUUAAUUAAAAACGAGUCUUUUAUUAUGCGGCAACUUGCAUGAGUGGUUGCGACAUCCUUUACUGUGUAUGGACAUCUCUGUAAUUUUUUUUUUUUUUUUUUGCGGCAGCUUGCAUUUGUUUUUGGUUUUGGUGACACCGUAAAAACUCUAGUUGGCCUCCUUUAGCACAUCUUGGAGAGUCACUUUCUAUGUGUUAAUAUAAUCUUAUUUUGACAUGUUAAAAAAAAAAAAAAAAAAGUCAACUAAAUCAAGCCUUCCUAUUAAAGAAAAAAGUGAACCAAAUACCACGCAUUUUUUAUGAGCCAACCGUAAAUAAAUUUUCUAAUUAGUGUUGCAUCAUUUGCACCUCUAGAAGAUAUGAGGUGGCUCAUAUUUUCGUCAUGGUGUGAAAAAGAUGUUUAAAAGGCGUAUAAAGAAUUUUUUUUCCGUCAUUCAAAUUCAAAUGCUGGAAAUUUUAUAAACGGGAGAGGAAUGUUAUUUUAUUCAACAGAGAAGAGAACUUAGCUAGCUUCCAGUGUUAUGGGGUGUGUAGGACUUGACCGAAAAUUUAAUAUUAGUGCCAAGCCUUUGGUUGGAGGCUGCUAUAUAGAUAUGAUUGUGGCCGGUACAUUGGACACGUACAAAACUCAAAGAAUAGAAAUCAAAUUUGAGUAUUAGAUAGACUAUUACUCCAUUAGAAUAGAAGAGUGGGGUAUUAGUGUAUUACAUUAAUAGAUUAUUAUAGUUAAAUAUAAUUUUAGUCUCCAAGACCAAGGCUUAAGAUUUUUAUGUCCCAAACAAAUAUCUUUUUAAUAAUUUUAAAUGUUUUUCUAUUUGUAUCUUUUGUUGUAAAAGAUUUAUUUAGUGUUAAGCUCAUGAGUACAUAACUUUUUAUGGUUUAAUGCUGGUAAGUGUAUUUGUUUGCAUUCAUUUUCUGCAAAUUCAAUACGGAAACUUUUAGUUAUGACGUUAAGGGUUGAGUCAUGAUGUAAUUUUAUUGAGUACGUCAAGGAUUGAAAACAACAAUUUUAAAUUUGUUUUUACAAAAAUAAUAAUAAUAACUGCAGAGAUUGAAUUGAAACAAAAAAUAUUAUAAGAAAUGAAGCCAAAAAAUUUCUAUAAUUGACAGAACUAAAAUCAAAUUUAAAUCCAUUAAGAUUGUUAUAACAUCUAAUCGAGUUGCAUAGAAAAGACCAACAAACUAUUAGUGUGUCGAAUAUGAACCACCCAAAAUGAUCCAAAGGUAAACAUUUUCCAUUAGUAAACAUAAAUCAUAAUAUAUAACAAAAUAUAGAAAAUAAUAUCUUGUUAAAAAUUACUAUAAACUAGGUCCUUACAAACUAUUAAAACAAUUAGGUUUUUUUUUUUUUUUACAGAAUAUUAAGACAUUUAGUUAUAUUUAUUUACAAUUGUAUCAUUAAAAAAUGUUGAACCUAUCUUAUCUAUCAUAUUAUUUAUCAUUUUUUACUACUCAUUUAUUAUUUAUUGUUAGUUAUAAAAGAUAUGUAAAAAAAAUUGUAGGCAUUUAAAAAAUUAUAAUUAAUAGAAUUGAAAAUUUGAAAUGAGUCAAACAAAAAGGACAACAAAUUUUUUAUUUAGCUAUCUUUUACAAAUAUUUUUCUUAAUAGUCCUCUUAAACUUGAAGAUGAACAACAUAACAAUUGAUCAUGCCGGAUCUGGAGAUCUCUAGUUGGUGAUGGUGAAUGCCUUUGAAGGUUGGAUCUUCGUCACUAGCAACCUUCUUCUUCAGAGGAGAGUUUGCAGUUUUCGUACAUACUUCCACAAUGAAGUCAAUAACUGGACAAUGAGCAUACUUGGACCAAUGUCAUGAGUUAAUGGAUUUAGGAUUUUAGGGUGAUAGAAGAGGUUUAGGGUUUUGCCCUUGAAUUGUUAACUGGACAAUUGUCCUCGAGGGACACAUAUAAACAUAUUAAAAGGCCAUCAUUUUAUUUGUCCUAAACGGUCUAUAUCUUUCCAUGGGGUCUUAAUCCAGUGAUAUUUAGGGUGAUUCCAUGCUAUGGUCCUUACAUAUAAGCUUUGAAGGGUACCUGGAUUCAGGCAUGGAUUGAACAUUGACCCAAUAUGGAACAACAACACAAGACAUCAUGAGUUUUUUUAAUAAUCGGAGAUCAUGAAAUAUAAGGAAACAUGAGAAGGGGAAACAAAACUGUAUUGGAUGCUCAACCCAGUUUUAACGGAAUUCAUGGGGAGGUUGAGGGUACCUCCGUACAUGGGAAUUGGUCAAAAUAUUUCUCCUUCGUUUUUUUUCUUCGUUGAAUUAAAACUAAAAAUAAAUAUAUUGAAUUUAUAAACGAAUGUGGUAUUACAUGUUUAUUUCACCUAUUUGACUUUCACUUUAGGCGAGAGUGUGUAACAGAAGCAUAAUAACAAUUUACUGAAUAACAAAUCAAAAUAUAAACUCUACUUUUAUGAAGCACCUAUAAGGCUAGACCUAACUAAUAAUGGAACAUAAAUAUGUCAUACUCCACAAUGGCAUCUCCUUUAGUGUAAUCAACGGAAUAAAAUUUAGCUUGAGCAUAACCACGUACAAAACGAAAAGCCCCAGUUCCACCAACAAUGGCCAUUUCUCUAACAGGUUCACUCAUGAUCAUAUUUCUACCCAAUAUGCUAAGUGUGCUUCCAUUGAAAUGUCCAUCAGUGAAUGUCAUGGUCAUCACCAUCAUUAGUCCCAUCUCCUCUUGUGAUAUAGAGGUGUAAAUUCCUUGAGCCUUACCCACAAGUUUUGAUUCACGUUCGGGUCCAGCCGUCAAGGGGUCAUCCAUCGCCACAACUGUCCCGAAUGGCAAGGCAUUUUUUACCUUGCCAUUGGGCUCAGCUACAAAUACCAUGCUAGGUUUUGGUCCUGACACGAUGUCGUGAAAGUAAAAAUGAAGGUGAGUGAAUUUCUCUUCUUGAAAACCCAGCAUUGUUGGGGAUAGGCUUUUAUAGUAAUUAGUGGCAGUGGCAAGGGAUAUUAUGGAGACGAAAGUAAGGUUCAAAGAAAUGAGAAUUGUGGAACAUGAUGAGAAUUUUGCCAUGGUUGAUGUGAAUGAACUAAGAAUGCUUUUUGUUGUUGUUGUUGAGGAUCGGAUAAUGAACUUAUAAGAAUGCUAUUACUAUGAAAAAUGUCUCUGAUCCGAUCAGUGGUAUAUUUCAAUUGGUUUGGAUACAUGCCUAUUUAUAUAAUAGGUGUGGCUGCUUCUUUCAUUUGUUUAUAAUAUUAUCUGUCUCAAGCUGAUGUUUCUUGACCAAAAACUUUAGAUAUAUGUCAAAAUACGGUAGAAAAAUGACAGACGCCAGAAACAUGUAAAAUGUUAGUUUUCUUAGCAAACGAAGCAUCCGAGAAAUAUAGUGAAAAAUUUAUAAGCUCAAUCAUAUUUUCUCAAAUUAAUUAUUAUUUUUUAGUAUAAAAUAAUUUGUCGUGUAAUCAAUAUGCUGAAACAAUUCUUCAUUGUUUGUGAGAUUAUGAAUUCGCAACCAUUUUCUGGAAAUCUAUUGGUUUUGUGGACCACCUAUUCUACCAAGGCGAUGACUUAUAAUAUGACUGGUUGCGGUAAGGAACGAUUGGCACCACUAUUUUUCUAUUUCUGGCUGCUUGUUGGUGGUUGUGGCGUGAGAGAAAUAAGUUGUAUUUUGCAAAUGAAUUGGUGUCUUCCUUCACCUUAAGGCACACCACUUUUAAUUAUAUGCUCAGUUGUUAUCGAAGUGUUUCCUUAAACAGGGGCAUGAAUCUGCCACGAGGUCGGUAAAGUGGAAUGUGUCCUAUGUGAAUGGCAUGAUUUUAUAUGUUGAUGGGUGCAGUCUUGGUAACCCCGGUGUCUCCGGGUUUGGCGGUUUGCUUCGUAAUGAUGAUGGUGCUUGGUAUUGCGGAUUUGCAGGUAAGAUUGGGUUUUCCAAUAUCCUGCAUGCAGAACUCUUGGCAGUUUAUCAUGGAUUGAGAUUGGCUUGGGAAUUUGGCAUGUCAGAGUUGGUGUGUUAUUAAGAUUCUAAAACAGCAAUCAAGUGGAUUAAGCAACCUGUUAACGGAAGGUAAUGUCUGUGUUGAUUACCUUGCAAAGAUUGAGGCUAGCUCUCAUGAGGCACGCCAGUCUUUUGUUGCACCUCCAGCUGGAAUCAGCAACCUCCUACUAGCAAAUGCGAGUGGGAUCUUUUUCCCUAGAUAGUUGUUUCUUCUUUUUGUUUUUCUUUUUGCAUUUUGUUACCAAAAAAUAAAUAAUGAUUUGAUAUGAGUAAAAUCAUUUAGGAUAAUUUUCAUUUCUAAAAAAAUGGGAUGACAUUAGUUAUAAUUGGGAAAGAAAAGUUAAAAAGUUUUGUAUUGAUCAAGAAUUCAAGACCCUCUCUAUUUUUUAAAGAAAUUGUGGGCUCUAUUUAUGAAAUGGAAAUACGCACUCAAGAAUUUAGUGGAUCUCAUAUUUAGCUGGACCUAUAUUUUGUGACUCAUCAAACUCCUUAAUGUGAUUUUUUCCGCUCAUUAACGAAACCAUCCAUUUCUUUGAGAAAUAAAGAUGAUAUUUUUACCAUCUUAAUCCAUUUGAUGGUACCCACCAAUUAAUAUCAUUUUUCGUGCUGAUAUAUCUUCAAAUGGAAUCAUUAAUUUCGUUUGAGAAAUGGAUAUGACCUUGUUGGAGCAAUAUUUAAGAAUGGUUCAAAAGUAUUUAAGCUACCGAGAAAAAUUACUGCCAUGAGUCGUCGACUAGGACACUCUUUUUAAAACUAUCAACUAUGACAUCCCAAUAUAAAACAACACAUCUACAAUUGUAUUUGAAUCAUACUACAUUGUAAGAUACUAAGAUCCAUUCUAGAAAUACACCUUUAAAAUGGUACUUAGACCACUUAAUAUGAUACCGAGACCACUCUAACUUCCGAAGGAACAAAUUAAUCGAAGGGGCAGAAAAGGAGAAGAAAGAAAAUCCGUUGAUAGAUGAGUUUUGGUGUGAAGAGAAGUUAGGGUGAGACAUUAUUUUAUUAGUGCAAGAGCCAAAGAGGCAACCAAAAUGGAGGGAUGGGAUCAGUUGACCAUCAUGGGAUCAACGACAUGAUCUCACCUCAUUAAGAAUUGGCGCAGAAAUGAGUUUGCAUUUGCAAAUCACAAGAGGACAAGAGGACUCACACGUUGGUGUUUUCAAACACAUGUUGAUGCGUGCAAACCUGUGACGAGAAGAAGACAUGUACCAAAUAAAAUUAAUUCCAAAAAAUUAAUUAAUUUAAGAUUUCGGAUCUUUAAAAAAUAAUACACAACUUAGUCCAAACUCAUGCCCAGAUCCGACCUGACGACAUCAUUGUCUUCACGUGUGUAGUGUUGAAAUUGAUUGCAUCAUCUCCCCUUUAAAAAAUUGGAUAUCUCUUUGGGGCAAGCCCCAAGAGCCCUUCCUCCAAUAUAUAAAUACUUGUGUUGUGAGAAGUAUCUCCAAUGUGGGACUUGUCGAAAUUUUUUAAUUCACACACAAACACACUUUUGUUCUUAAUUCAAUUUUUCACUUGAAUUUAAAAUAACUCGGAAGUUUCUUUUAAGAUUGUGCAUAAGUAGAUGUGUUUUGCAACUUGAACAAUUGUAUAGUGAAUAAGAUUCAGAUUUAUUAGAGUGACUCGUAAUCUUAAACUCUAUCUCUAAUAUCAAAACGUACACAAUAUUUUCUUAUGUGUAUUUUCAAAAAGUUUGUCCAUUAAGACCUUACAUAUCAAUCUUGAUUUAACAAAUGCUCUACGAAUUUUUCCUAGAAUUUCAUAGGAAUAGACCCUGACUUGCACAUUCACAAAGGUCCGUAUGUCAAGAGUACUGCUCUUAUAUCAGAGUAUUCCACUUUGCGUAAAUGUACGUAUGUCAAGGGUACUCUUGUAUCAAAGUACUCCACUCUACAUAGAGUAAAAAUCUCAUGAACAAUUUCCUUUAAUUCACGUCCUCUUUAUCGCUUUAGAAAUCAUGUUUUUAUGUUCUCCUUCUGUUACCUCACAACAUAUGUUUAAUCGCCUACUAAAAGCAUAAGUGAAUAGUUUCAUUGUUGAAUAAAAUAUUACAGAAGCAGAUAUAAUGUUUAAACCCACACACAAAAACUUAUAUAUGUUAAAAAAAUCACUAAACAAAAUAACUAAAAAAUAUGUCUUCAAAGAUAACUUUUCACUAGUAUGUAUAGUACGCUAUACCGACUCGUUAAAAUAGAAAUGGAAUAUCACGAGACUCACAAGUCACAAUGCUAGCAAUUCAAAUAAUGGUCCUUUGUCCCUUUGGAGGAAACACUAUAAUGAGUCUGAAGAUAUCUAUUUCUUUAGUGGUAUAUUAAAGUGACAAUAAUUAACAAUGUAUACUGAAUUUAAUAACCAAUGUGGUAUUACAAUGUUUAUUUCAUCGGUUUGCCUUUCACAUUGGGUGAGAGUUUGACAAGAACAAAAUAAUAAUAAAUGUAAAAUAAUCUCUACUUUUAUGAAGCACCUAUGCCUAACUAAUAAUGGAACACAAAUAUGUCAUAUUCUACAACGGCAUCUCCUUUUGUAUAAUCAACCGAAUAAAACUUAGCCUGAGCAUAUCCACGUACGAAACGAAAUGCCCCGGUUCCACCAACUAUGGCCAUUUCUCUAACAGGUUCACUCAUGAUCAUGUUUCUACCCAAUAUGCUAAGUGUGCUUCCAUUAAAAUGUCCAUCAGUGAAUGCCAUGGUCAUCACCAUCAUUAGUCCCAUCUCCUCUUGUGAUAUAGAAGUGUAAAUUCCUUGAGCCUUACCCACAAGUUUCGAGUCACGUUCGGGCCCAGCCGUCAAUGGAUCGUCCAUGGCCACAACCGUCCCGAAUGGCAACGCAUUUUUUACCUUGCCAUUAGGCUCAGCUAUAAAUACCAUGCUUGGUUUUGGUCCCGACACAAUGUCAUGAAAGUAAAAGUGAAGGUGAGUGAAUUUCUCUUCUUGAAAACCCAGCAUUGUUGGAGAUAGGCUUUGAUAGUAAUUAGUGGCCGUGGUAAGGGAUAUUAUGGAGAGGAAAGUAAGGUUCAAAGAAAUUAGAAGAGUUAUGGGGAAUGUUGAGGAUUUUGCCAUGGUUGU
rnacentral:lncRNA from 1 species